rnacentral:rRNA from 1 species
GCUUAACACAUGCAAGUCGAGGGGCAGCAUGGUCUUUUCUUGCUAAGGCCGAUGGCGACCGGCGCACGAGUGAGUAACACGUAUCCAACCUGCCGUCUACUCUUGGACAGCCUUCUGAAAGGAAGAUUAAUACAAGAUGGCAUCAUGAGUCCACAUGUUCACAUGAUUAAAGGUAUUCCGGUAGACGAUGGGGAUGCGUUCCAUUAGAUAGUAGGCGGGGUAACGGCCCACCUAGUCUUCGAUGGAUAGGGGUUCUGAGAGGAAGGUCCCCCACAUUGGAACUGAGACACGGUCCAAACUCCUACGGGAGGCAGCAGUGAGGAAUAUUGGUCAAUGGGCGAGAGCCUGAACCAGCCAAGUAGCGUGAAGGAUGACUGCCCUAUGGGUUGUAAACUUCUUUUAUAAAGGAAUAAAGUCGGGUAUGGAUACCCGUUUGCAUGUACUUUAUGAAUAAGGAUCGGCUAACUCCGUGCCAGCAGCCGCGGUAAUACGGAGGAUCCGAGCGUUAUCCGGAUUUAUUGGGUUUAAAGGGAGCGUAGAUGGAUGUUUAAGUCAGUUGUGAAAGUUUGCGGCUCAACCGUAAAAUUGCGGUUGAUACUGGAUAUCUUGAGUGCAGUUGAGGCAGGCGGAAUUCGUGGUGUAGCGGUGAAAUGCUUAGAUAUCACGAAGAACUCCGAUUGCGAAGGCAGCCUGCUAAGCUGCAACUGACAUUGAGGCUCGAAAGUGUGGGUAUCAAACAGGAUUAGAUACCCUGGUAGUCCGCACGGUAAACGAUGAAUACUCGCUGUUUGCGAUAUACAGCAAGCGGCCAAGCGAAAGCGUUAAGUAUUCCACCUGGGGAGUACGCCGGCAACGGUGAAACUCAAAGGAAUUGACGGGGGCCCGCACAAGCGGAGGAACAUGUGGUUUAAUUCGAUGAUACGCGAGGAACCUUACCCGGGCUUAAAUUGCAGAUGAAUUACGGUGAAAGCCGUAAGCCGCAAGGCAUCUGUGAAGGUGCUGCAUGGUUGUCGUCAGCUCGUGCCGUGAGGUGUCGGCUUAAGUGCCAUAACGAGCGCAACCCUUGUUGUCAGUUACUAACAGGUUCCGCUGAGGACUCUGACAAGACUGCCAUCGUAAGAUGUGAGGAAGGUGGGGAUGACGUCAAAUCAGCACGGCCCUUACGUCCGGGGCUACACACGUGUUACAAUGGGGGGUACAGAGGGCCGCUACCACGCGAGUGGAUGCCAAUCCCAAAAACCUCUCUCAGUUCGGACUGGAGUCUGCAACCCGACUCCACGAAGCUGGAUUCGCUAGUAAUCGCGCAUCAGCCACGGCGCGGUGAAUACGUUCCCGGGCCUUGUACACACCGCCCGUCAAGCCAUGGGAGCCGGGGGUACCUGAAGUGCGUAACCGCGAGGAGCGCCCUAGGGUAAAACUGGUGACUGGGGCUAA